rnacentral:rRNA from 1 species
AACGAACGCUGGCGGCGUGUUUAAGACAUGCAAGUCGAACGGAUUGAAGUUGUAGCAAUACCGCUUCAGUCAGUGGCGCACGGGUGCGUAACACGUGAGUUACAUGCCCUGCAGUGGGGAAUAGCCCGCCGAAAGGCGGAUUAAUACCCCAUGGUCCCGCAAGGGUAAAGGUGGCGCAAGCUGCCGCUGCAGGAUUGGCUCGCGGCCUAUCAGCUUGUUGGUGAGGUAACGGCUCACCAAGGCGUCGACGGGUAGCCGGCCUGAGAGGGUGACCGGCCACACUGGGACUGAGACACGGCCCAGACUCCUACGGGAGGCAGCAGUGGGGAAUAUUGCACAAUGGGCGAAAGCCUGAUGCAGCAACGCCGCGUGAGGGAUGACGGCCUUCGGGUUGUAAACCUCUUUUAGCAAGGAAGAAGCGAAAGUGACGGUACUUGCAGAAAAAGCGCCGGCUAACUACGUGCCAGCCGCCGCCGUAAUAC